CCCAGCUAAAGGACAUCCUCUCUGAAAGUCGACUCAACAAAGAGAGGAAGAAAAGCCAAAUCUUACCUGGCAGCAGAAAUCCCCAGAGAUGGUGCCUACCGGUUUUCACAGAUGCUCAGACUAAAUGAAUACAAGAUCCUCACUAAAACUCAGUGAGUUCAUCUGGCAGAGAAGAAAGUCUCAUCCAGCACAUAAAUAUUCCAACCCUGAGCCGCUCUGCUGUGUCUGGAAUGACUCACAGCGAAGGAGAGCCAGUCAUGGCAGCAACUGCUUGUGGCCCAGAGUUCUCGCACUGCAAUGAUCUCCUAAAUGCUCGGAGAGUUCAGCGCAGGAGCUAAGAUGCAGCAGACACGACCGAGAGAGCUGGCUAAAUAAUCCCUUUCGCCAGCAGUCCGGGAAGUGCCGCAGAG